rnacentral:lncRNA from 1 species
UUUAAGUCGAUUGCUUGGGCGAACAUGCGAAGACAACACCGUAUCCUAUCAGCUCCAUCCAAGUAACACUAUCCACAGAGUUAGAUCCCGAGAACAGUGCAUUAAAAUAAGUAAAUGUACCGCGUCUCGACACUUCAGAGGAAAAGCAGCAGGUACCCCUCCAACCUGUCAAAGCCCAGCACUUGACGGGAUCGCGGCCAUCUGACGACAUUACCUGCAAUACCACCACCUCUUCAUUUCACAGGUGGGCCCGGUCGGUCUCGCAUUGCGGAGACGGCGUCGUCUGCCGUCUACACACCGGAGUCAGCGUCAACCGGAGUCGUAUCAGAGGAGAACCCGCCACAUGUUGUACGUAACUGUUCCGCGAGGGGAGGUCUUGUCUCAUUAAAUGAUUGUUAACAUCCGGCUGGAAGUGAAAUCGGCUAAUAGGCAAUGGCUAUUAUAAGCGCGGCUAUACAGUUAUACAGCUAUACAGUUAUUCCGUUAUACAGUUAUAUACAGUUAAGGCACUACUGGUAACGCACACCGAUGCCCCCGGAGGUUCCGGGCUCGAGACCUGUCAGGGUCGAGAAAUCCUUCCGAUGGUGGAAGGUAAGAGCGCCCCUAGUCGAUGGACGGUGGUGACCUGGGAUAAAGUAGACCUGCGAGCUGGUCAGGAAUGGAGUUGAGCCGCCGUUGAUCCGGCAGAUUCUGUUGGAUGCCGGUUGGGGGUGGUGGAUGCCGGUGCUGGACCUGAGCGACCCACUGACAAGUCGGCUAGGGUGACUGGAUGAGGAUGCCCCGAAAGACCGUGGAAGGCAGGGUUUCGCCAGGUAGCGGCCACGGGUGAAGAUAUGCCCUCCUGCCCCACACAUCAUAAGCGCAGUGGUUGUCCUGCCUGCCCCAGCCAUGAAGGGAAAGGGGCCCGGGACCUGGCACCUCGGGAAUCAAGGCCCCUAUCCGGGUGAGCUCAGAGGCAUGUGGGGUCCACUGGUGCGCACCGACGAAAACAAGUUGCGGGUGGGUGCGCUGCACUCAUGUGGCGGGCAGUGGCGCUGUCACGGCAGUAAUCCGCGAGGGGAGGCUGCUGCCCGCCCCAGCCGGCGCGGAGUAUCACACCGGGGAAUGCGGCAUUCAACUGGUACCCGGCAACGGCGGGGGUAGGACUGUACGUUUCAAAAUAAUGCCGUCGGUGCUGACCCCCUGCGUGAAUGGCUUGAGGGUCCGCUUCGAGCUCCCCAGAGUGAGGCUCCCGCCGCGUGGCCCUGCCAACCGGUGGCCGCCCCAGUGUGAGUGACCACCCAGGUCACGUGACCCGGAGGGGAUGAGGCCGGUGGUAUCCCGGUGGGCACCCGGGGUUAGCAGGUGCCAAGGGGGAUGUGUGGUGCCCUCCGGACGGAGGGGAGGGAAGUGUACGGCAGUAAUAUCAAAUUGCGGUUCUUGGGACCCAAUGAGCGCCAACCAUGUACAUGUUUGACGCCGUACGAAUGGCGUACAGAGGUACACCACCAUGUGUGUGUUGUGUCCGUGUAUACCGCGCCACCGCAUGUGUGAGCUGUUGGCUGUCCGCGCUGAUCCGCGGCCGACGGGGAGGCGGCUACUCCCCACUUGUAAUUUAGCAUCCACACUGUUGAGUCAGCAGCCGGGGACCCAGCUGUUGCCUACUCAGGCCUCUGUUGUUAGCUGUUUGCAAAAACACUCGUCCCGAUUGGACUGCCAGUUAAAAGCGGGUCGCUUCGGUCUCUCUCGCACCCGAGCAGCCGGCCUCACUCUGGCCAUUUCCAUCUCUACUGCUGAUGUCCCGAUUGACGACAUGCAAACUGGU